UCUCUUCAACACUGCAAACGUCGCUUCAGCAUUUUCCCUGUAUUCUACCUGAAAAAACAGUAUAUACAAAAUUCCGCCCUAUCAAACACAUCGUAUCCUCUACAAUAUCUCUACUUGGCUCUUUUCCACUUUAACAUUACAAUCUUUCUGCUGCUUGCACAUUUAAUAUUUCUAUCUUAUUUCGUUAAACGAUCAUGAACCAAAAAUACAACAAAGCGUGCUUCCAACACAAGACAUGCUUCUAACGCAAAGCGUACUCUAACAAACGUGCUCCAACACAAUGCGUGCUCUUCACACACACAUACAAUCCAUCUGCCUUCUCAUCACUCAGAUUUCUCCAAGCUCAAGACAUCCCACUAUCCUCCUCUACCGUCACCGUUGCGUUUGCCGGGUAUGCACCUUUGCAGUUUUCUGUACGACAUGACUCUUCCUUGCAACAAUGUCCUCCGCAACACGACGGUGGUGUAUCGACACAUUGCGUUCUCGGCAAAAGAUGUGCUUGAGUAAGCUCCUUGAACACUUGAUGACCAGAACUCGUUACACCAUUCGUUAGCGGCGUGCUAUUCUUGAGGUUGGCCUUCAUUUCAAAUCCACUCACCAAACGACCGUUUACCCAUACUUGCGCCAAGUUUCGAUCGUCACUCGUAAACACCCAUUUACUCAGCAUAACCGGCCACGUAUCCCGUUCAAAGAUGUCAACGCAAGAGUGUGUCUCUGCAGACAAAUCCACAAUCAAUGCAUCCCAAUACUUACCAACGGCAAAACUGCCAACUUGGUCACCCCGAGAUACUACCUCUGCACCUCCUUGAGUGGCCAGGUAAAGAAGCUCGGACAGGUCUAGCAUCACCUUUGGAUCGCCCAAUACGUACGAUAAAGAACGAGAAGUCAUCGCCGCAUGUCGAAGGGCUAUAAGGAUGCUGGGCGCAUACCCACCAGAUACAUCCGUACCCAAUCCCACAUUGAUUCCGGAAUCGAGUAACUUUCUCACAUUCGCCAGUCCACUAGCUAAAAUAGAGUUACUGGUGGGACAAUGCGAAAUACCGCUGCUACGCUUCGUCAGUAAUUCAAUCUCCUCGUCCUCCAAAUGGAUGGCGUGUGCUAAAAUCGUUUGUGGUGUCAACAAUUUAUAAUAGUCGUAGACGUCUGCAUACGAUUUUCUUUCCGGAAACAGUUCUUUUACCAACUCAAUCUCGGAUGUGUUUUCUGAAAUAUGCGUUUGGAUGGGUAGAUUAUGCUUCUCAGCUAGUUCUCCACAUCCACUCAACAAGUCUUCGGUACAAGAGGGCGCAAACCGAGGCGUGAUAAUUGGAGUGACCAUUUCCCGUUUCGGAUCGAGAAUGCUCAUAUACGAAAUCAAUUGACGCGUAGCCUCAAGGGAAGACUCUGCGGACUUUUCGCAGUAGUGAUCAGGUGACAAAUUAUUCAUGUUGCAUUUUCCAAUAUACGCCCGCUGUCCAUAAGAAUAGCAAAUUUCAGCUAAUAGAGCCGAUGUAGGCGUGUGUAAAGUAGAAAAAUAGCUAGCAAACGUUGUACCAUUCGAUAACGUUCGUUCCACCACCCGUUUGUAAACCUGACGAGCCUCUUCCAAGUCGGCAAGCGAGGAUUCCAACGGAAAUGUGUACUUUUCUAACCAUUGCAACAAUGGCACAUCAAUUCCUAUUCCACUGUUUGGAUACUGAGGCGCAUGAAUGUGCGUAUCUAUGAGUCCAGGGAACAUAAAUUGUAAGGGCUUCAAUUUGUGGAUAGUUGCCUCUUUUAAAAGAUGAUGGCUCUUGGCCUCCUCCAACGUUUUUGGAGUCAUAGAUUUUUCAAGAAAUACUAUUUUUCCAUUGUACACCCCGACAGUAGCAUCGGUGAUUUCCAACUCGCCAAGGGAAGGUGUGUGAAUGAGUUUUCCAACAAAUACAUCGCAUGUAUGACCAUCCAUCUUUUUUUUCAAAAACAAAAUGUCAAGAGAGACAGCAACAAAAUUUAAAAGAAUAAUUAACAGGAGAUAAAAAAUAAAUUUAUUUAUAUAAUUAUAGAGAUUAACGCAACACUGAUGCGAUAAACGAUAAAAAAAAAAGAACGAAUUGAGACAAACUCAAGAGAGAACAAGAGACAAAUUAUAAACCUCUAUUUUCUUAUGAGAAUUUUCCUUUUCUUUUUUUUAACUAUUUAAUUUGAUAUACUCGAAGAAUAUUUCGAUAUCAAAUUCACCGAAUUCAGUGUUUUUGGGUUAUCGCGAAGCAAACAGAUAAUUUACAAAAGAAAAAUUGCGUUCAAAGGUGGAUUUAAACACUUUUGUUUGAUUCUUCUCCUUUUCGAUGUUGAGGCAAAAGGUAGAUGGUAAAAACUGGAUUGUGGUGUUUAUAUAGAAGAAGUGGUGUAGCAACACAAUUUCCUACACCCUGAGCCCAUGUGAAAUGAUUCGGCAAAAAGUUAUCAAAAAACGGUGAAGCAAAAGGCACUGAUAGCACUUGAGCCGAUAUAUCUGAAGAGCAACCUCAAGGCCCCCGAUAAUGGGCGGUUUAGAAAAGUAACAUCAAUUUAUCAGUAAGUUUAGGGGGGCCAAAAAAAAUAGAUUCGGUUGUAUUUAACCUUAAAAUUAGCGAAAACAAAAGAUCGACGUUAAAAUAUAGGUGAAAAGAGAAGUAUAGAUAUACAAAAAUAUUCUACAUACGAGUAAGCUUAUCAUUGACGAAUUAAAAUAUCCCUUUUUUUCUUUCUUUUGAUUGAGGAAUCAUAAAGGUUUAUAUCACUUCAUCUGAUUAUUCCUCCUUCAUUUAAAAACUAUGUUAAAGGAUACAAUGUGAAAAAGGCAAUGAGUUAAAGGAAAGCAAUCAUUUCAAAUACAAGAAAAUUAUGGAUUGUAUAAAAAAAAUUAUAAAAUUAUAAACCAAUCAACUAAAUACCAGCCGCUUCCUGUUAAGCGUCAGCCAUAAAAAUGAUUCAUUUAUAAAUAUCAUUAUUGCUUAUUCCAAUACAAUACACUUUUAUUAAUGAGUAUGCAGAACAGUCAUUACCAAGUUAAAUUAACAGUAAAUAAAUAUCCUUCUGAUGUUGGUAAGUGAUCGACUAUUCAUAGUUGAAAUAGUAUUCAAGCAGUGAUUCUUAACGACUUGCUUUUCCUUUUUUUUUUUUUUUUUUUUUUUAUAAUUUUAU